GAUGAAGAACGUAGCGAAAUGCGAUAAGUAAUGUGAAUUGCAGAAUUCAGUGAAUCAUCGAAUCUUUGAACGCACAUUGCGCCCGCCAGUAUUCUGGCGGGCAUGCCUGUUCGAGCGUCAUUACACCACUCAAGCUAUGCUUGGUAUUGGGCGUCGUCCUUAGUUGGGCGCGCCUUAAAGACCUCGGCGAGGCCACUCCGGCUUUAGGCGUAGUAGAAUUUAUUCGAACGUCUGUCAAAGGAGAGGAACUCUGCCGACUGAAACCUUUAUUUUUCUAGGUUGACCUCGGAUCAGGUAGGGAUACCCGCUGAACUUAAGCAUAUCAAUAAGCGGAGGA
rnacentral:misc_RNA from 1 species